UGAGCUCAGGCAAGGCUACCCGCUGAACAUAAG
rnacentral:rRNA from 1 species